rnacentral:rRNA from 1 species
AGUAAAUAGAUACCCUGGUAGUCCACGCCGUAAACGAUGAGUACUAGGUGUAGGAGGUAUCGACUCCUUCUGUGCCGCAGUUAAACACAAUAAGUACUCCGCCUGGGAAGUACGGUCGCAAGAUUAAAACUCAAAGGAAUUGACGGGGGCCCGGCACAAGCAGCGGAGCAUGUGGUUUAAUUCGAAGCAACGCGAAGAACCUUACCUAGACUUGACAUCUCCUGAAUAGUGUAGAGAUACAUGAAGCCCGUUCGGGGUCGAGGAAGGCAGGUGGUGCAUGGUUGUCGUCAGCUCGUGUCGUGAGAUGUUGGGUUAAGUCCCGCAACGAGCGC